GUCGAACGAGUUCUCGUUGAUGAUCGGUGCUUGCACCGAGAUUCAACAUGGAACGAGUGGCGGACGGGUGAGUAACACGUGGGUAACCUGCCCUUAAGUGGGGGAUAACAUUUGGAAACAGAUGCUAAUACCGCAUAGAUCCAAGAACCGCAUGGUUCUUGGCUGAAAGAUGGCGUAAGCUAUCGCUUUUGGAUGGACCCGCGGCGUAUUAGCUAGUUGGUGAGGUAAUGGCUCACCAAGGCGAUGAUACGUAGCCGAACUGAGAGGUUGAUCGGCCACAUUGGGACUGAGACACGGCCCAAACUCCUACGGGAGGCAGCAGUAGGGAAUCUUCCACAAUGGACGCAAGUCUGAUGGAGCAACGCCGCGUGAGUGAAGAAGGCUUUCGGGUCGUAAAACUCUGUUGUUGGAGAAGAAUGGUCGGCAGAGUAACUGUUGUCGGCGUGACGGUAUCCAACCAGAAAGCCACGGCUAACUACGUGCCAGCAGCCGCGGUAAUACGUAGGUGGCAAGCGUUAUCCGGAUUUAUUGGGCGUAAAGCGAGCGCAGGCGGUUUUUUAAGUCUGAUGUGAAAGCCCUCGGCUUAACCGAGGAAGCGCAUCGGAAACUGGGAAACUUGAGUGCAGAAGAGGACAGUGGAACUCCAUGUGUAGCGGUGAAAUGCGUAGAUAUAUGGAAGAACACCAGUGGCGAAGGCGGCUGUCUGGUCUGUAACUGACGCUGAGGCUCGAAAGCAUGGGUAGCGAACAGGAUUAGAUACCCUGGUAGUCCAUGC
rnacentral:rRNA from 1 species